rnacentral:lncRNA from 1 species
GGUCACUUCGUGUUUACACUGGCGGUUAUGAGGGCCUACUACUUUGUCAAAAAAUGUUCAACAGGUAAAACUUGCAAUUUAAUUGAUGACAUAUUUUAAUUUGCAUUAUUGCAUACCCAGAGAAGUUACAUUUUUAACAUUUAUUGGCCAUUUGCACUGCUUCUUUAAUGAAUCUCCUGUUCUUGUCCCUUGAUGUUUCAGACAUGGUUAAAAGUCUAGUAAUGAGGUCUGGUCCUGCCAUUCACUAGCUGUUUUGUUUUCCUACCUGUUCAUCUGGUUUAGAGUAUCUGCCUUGUCUUCAAGCCUGCUUGCUCUUCCAAAUCUUGACCUCGGGUUAGCCAGGUUAUGGUGUAACAGUUUCAUACUGCCAAACAGAAUCUUCAGACCUGAGUUUUCCUAGAGAGUUAUGAGCUAUUGCUGCCGAUGAGCUGUCUAAACGGAGAGUCAAUAGAGCUGUCGUUUCAUCUAUUUUUUUUCUGUCUCAAAGGUUAUCAUCAUGAGGACUCAUCUCAAGGGGUCUUCUACUGAUGAUCUCAGCUCUUGCCCUCUGCUUAUUCCCCUUUCCAGAUUUCUUUCAUCCUCCUAGGAUGUAAGGCUUUUCUGGCAAACAGGAGACCUGAGAACACUGAACCACUAAGUUCAAAGGACAGAGUGGGCAAGACGCAGAGUCAGAAGCGGGGAAGGAAACUGAUUUCCUCUCUACAAAAUCAUGGUGAGUCCCAUGACAGAGAGAGUCACCAAUGGCAACUACUGUUUUGAGAAGAAAAAAUAUUGCUGGGGAAUAAAUUAUGUAAGGAAAAUUUGUCCUUGAUUUUC